AGCGAAUGUCUAAAAUUUACCAAAAAAUUACAAUAACGAAAGCGAUUCCUCGAAAUUUUUGUGAACUUGGUAAAAGGAUAACAGAAUAUGUAAAUAAGUUAACUGAAAUUGCCUAAAUAACUUUAAAAGUACUGAUUAGGUACAAUAAAUCAUAACGAACAUAAAUCGUAUACACCCCCCGGAAAGUUUACUCUAUGACUGAUUCGUGUGAAUUCGCUAGCCAUCACAAUAGUGUGAAACUUCACACUAAAAAUUAGCAAUCAUCGUCUUUGUGCAACAAUUG